GAUGGACGCUGGCGGCGUGCCUAAUACAUGCCAGUCGAGCGAACAGACGAGGAGCUUGCUCCUCUGACGUUAGCGGCGGACGGGUGAGUAACACGUGGAUAACCUACCUAUAAGACUGGGAUAACUUCGGGAAACCGGAGCUAAUACCGGAUAACAUGUUGAACCGCAUGGUUCAACAGUGAAAGACGGUUUUGCUGUCACUUAUAGAUGGAUCCGCGUCGCAUUAGCUAGUUGGUAAGGUAACGGCUUACCAAGGCAACGAUGCGUAGCCGACCUGAGAGGGUGAUCGGCCACACUGGAACUGAGACACGGUCCAGACUCCUACGGGAGGCAGCAGUAGGGAAUCUUCCGCAAUGGGCGAAAGCCUGACGGAGCAACGCCGCGUGAGUGAAGAAGGUCUUCGGAUCGUAAAACUCUGUUAUUAGGGAAGAACAAAUGUGUAAGUAACUAUGCACGUCUUGACGGUACCUAAUCAGAAAGCCACGGCUAACUACGUG
rnacentral:rRNA from 1 species